CCGGUGCUUAUUCUUCCGGUACCGUCAUCCCCCCACCGUAUUAGGACGGAGGUUUUCUUUCCGGACAAAAGUGCUUUACAACCCGAAGGCCUUCUUCACACACGCGGGAUUGCUGGAUCAGGGUUGCCCCCAUUGUCCAAAAUUCCCCACUGCUGCCUCCCGUAGGAGUCUGGGCCGUGUCUCAGUCCCAGUGUGGCUGGUCGUCCUCUCAGACCAGAUACAGAUCGUCGGCUUGGUAGGCCUUUACCCCACCAACUAGCUAAUCUGCCAUCGGCCGUCCCUUGAGCGCGAGGUCCGAAGAUCCCCCGCUUUCCUCCAUAGAGUGUAUGUGGUAUUAAUCCGGCUUUCGCGGGCUAUCCCCCACUACAGGACACGUUCCGAUGUAUUACUCACCCGUUCGCCACUUCGGCGGCAGGGGUGGCCCCGGUGCGUGUG
rnacentral:rRNA from 1 species